AUACGUAGGGGGCGAGCGUUGUCCGGAAUGAUUGGGCGUAAAGGGCGCGUAGGCGGCGCGAUAAGUCUGGAGUGAAAGUCCUGCUUUCAAGGUGGGAAUUGCUUUGGAUACUGCCGCGCUUGAGUGCAGGAGAGGUUAUCGGAAUUCCCGGUGUAGCGGUGAAAUGCGUAGAGAUCGGGAGGAACACCAGUGGCGAAGGCGGGUAACUGGACUGCAACUGACGCUGAGGCGCGAAAGUGUGGGGAGCAAACAGGAUUAGAUACCCUGGUAGUCCACACCGUAAACGAUGAAUGCUAGGUGUAAGAGGUAUCGACCCCUUUUGUGCCGGAGUCAACACAAUAAGCAUUCCGCCUGGGGAGUACGGCCGCAAGGUUGAGACUCAAAGGAAUUGGCGGGG
rnacentral:rRNA from 1 species